GAUGAACGCUAGCGGCAGGCCUAAUACAUGCAAGUCGAACGGGAUCAGGGAGCUUGCUCCCUGUGAGAGUGGCGCACGGGUGCGUAACACGUAUGCAACCUACCUUCAACUGGGGGAUAGCCUUCCGAAAGGAAGAUUAAUACCGCAUAACAUAAUUGAAUGGCAUCAUUUGAUUAUCAAACGUCAGGGUUGAAGAUGGGCAUGCGUCCGAUUAGCCAGUUGGUGUGGUAACGGCACACCAAGGCGACGAUCGGGCGGGGACCUGAGAGGAUGCCCCCCCACACUGGUACUGAGACACGGACCAGACUCCUACGGGAGUCAGCAGUAAGUAAUAUUGGUACAUGGAUGCAAGUCUGACCCAGCCAUGCCGCAUGCAGGAAGACGGUCCUCUGGAUUGUAAACGGCUUUUGUUAGGGAAGAAACCUUCGGAUGCGUCCGGGGCUGACGGUACCUAAAGAAUAAGGAUCGGCUAACUCCGUGCCAGCCGCCGCAGUAA
rnacentral:rRNA from 1 species